AUGACUUUGAAAUGUACCGAAACGGAGCUUACAUUGGUAAAGGCUCGCAUAUGUUUUAACAUCAACAGCAUCACCAUCCAAUGUGAAAAGUACCAAAUACGAGCUUACUUCACCGAGCCUCUAUUUGUCUCCAAAACCUUGCAUCAAGGCUAUGCCAAACACAUAAACCUGCAUAAUCAGAACUUUAACAGAUCCAGGGUUGCUGCAUUAAGUUUUCGUGAAGUAAGUCCCAUAUCCAAACAUCUAAACGGUCCUGCACAUAAUCAUGAAAAAACCAGUCAGAAGAUAAACCUACAGGAAUCGGUUUGA